UCCGACUUGUAUAAUUUAUUGCUUAUUAUUAUUUUUAAGAAAUGAGUUUCACGUUCGCCGCCUCGAUAAUGUUAUCGUCGUCGACGAUUGAUAAGGUUAAGUUAUAGUGUCUUUAUUUUGUAAAUACAGUGGACUUCGGAUAUAACAAACCCGUUUAAAGUGAACAUUCGGUUAUAGUAAACGCCCAUUCAAAUACCCAAAAAAACUACCAUAAGAACAAUGUAAUUUUUUCGCCGUUGUUUUGUUUUCAGUGGCAUUUCACUUCACGCGUUACUUACUGUGAGUUAUUUAUAUGAGUGUUUUGCUGUUUUGUGCUGGGUGCUAAGUCUUGGAUAGUCAAAAUGGAGAAGCAAAAGCGUAAAGCUUUAACAUUAAAAGAAAAAUAUGACAUUAUUCAGUGGUGUUAAACAGAGUGAUAUUUGUCGUGAAUUAAAUUUGCCAAAAUCAACCGUUUGCAUAGUUUGGAAAAAGAGGGAAGAGAUUUUAUCAGCAUAUGGUAAAGUUAAUGCAAAGUGUAAAAGACUUAGAAAAUCGGCUCAUGAAGGGGUUGAUAGAGCACUUUUACAGUGGUUUACACAACAAAAAAAGGAAAACGUUCCAUUAAAUGGUCCUAUUCUUCAAGAAAAAGCUAGUGAAAUGGGUAGUAAAAUUGAAGGAAAAACUUUUGAAUGUUCUGGAAGCUGGAUUGAACGUUUUAAGAAGAGACACUGGAGGGAAAAUUAUUGAUACGCCCAUUAGCUUAUGGAGGGCAGAAUACCAGUUCAAAGGUUCCUAUGGAUCAAGGAGUAAUUCGUUCGAGCAACUGAUAAUGGACAAGAUUUUUCAGUGAGUCUUUUAGAUGCUGUAAACUUCAUACAUCUAGCUUGGCAGGAAGUAAGUGCAAAAACCAUUGCAACCUGUUUUAAGCAUGCAGGAUUUUUGAGGUGGAAGAUGAAUCUGAUUCAGACGAUGACUUGCCCCUAAAUGAAUGGUUAAAAAAACAUAGUAAUCAAGAAAAUACUGACAUUCAAAGAUCCGUUGAAGAGGAAAUGAUAAAAAGAAUAAAUGACUUUGACUUGCAAAAAUUCAUUUCUAUUGAUGACCAUGUUAUUUCAACCGAAUCUAUAACAGAGGAGCAGAUUAUCCAGUCAGUUUCAAAAGGUACUAUAAAACUAAAUAAAACUAACCUUUUGUCUUUUAUUUUUUUUAGCAGUAAAUGUAGAAGUCGGAAGUGAAGAUGACGAAAACGAUCAGGAACCUAAUGAGGAUGUUGAAAUAAAUAUUCCAUCAACUAGAGAAAUGACGCAGAAAAUGACGGAAAUACGCACUGUCUUGCAAUCACGUGGAGUUCCAGAAGAAGUCUGGAAUAGUUUUUCUACCCCAGAGGGAUAACAAGUUUUUCAAACAGACUUAUACAAACCAAGAUUUCUCACUACAUAUACUAAGUAGUUACAGACACGUAGAUUAUGACUUAGUAGCUAUGUACAUAUUGUAUAUGUGUUAUAAAAACUGUAUGUGCUGUUUAUCCUUAUAAUAAAAGCCAGUUAUAAU